rnacentral:tRNA from 1 species
ACUAAGAUAGUUAAAUGUAAUAACAAGACUUUGAAGAAGUUUUAUUGAGGUGUUAAAUUCCUUCUCCUAGUA